rnacentral:rRNA from 1 species
GAUGAACGCUAGCUACAGGCUUAACACAUGCAAGUCGCGGGGCAGCAUGGGGGUUGCUUGCCAUCCCUGAUGGCGACCGGCGCACGGGUGAGUAACGCGUAUCCAACCUGCCCUUCACCACGGGAUAACCCGGCGAAAGUCGGACUAAUACCGUAUGUUGUCCAUUGACGGCCUCCGAUUUGGACGAAAGGCUUAGCGGUGAGGGAUGGGGAUGCGUCCGAUUAGCUUGACGGCGGGGUAACGGCCCACCGUGGCUACGAUCGGUAGGGGUUCUGAGAGGAAGGUCCCCCACACUGGAACUGAGACACGGUCCAGACUCCUACGGGAGGCAGCAGUGAGGAAUAUUGGUCAAUGGGCGUAAGCCUGAACCAGCCAAGUAGCGUGCAGGAUGACGGCCCUAUGGGUUGUAAACUGCUUUUAUGCGGGGAUAAAGGGACCCACGUGUGGGUUUUUGCAGGUACCGCAUGAAUAAGGACCGGCUAAUUCCGUG